GGAAAAGAAAGGCUCUUGCAGACACCAUAACUCAUAACUGGAAGCUCUGUGAAACUGGCCUGGCUGAUAGUGCUCUCAAACUGAAAGAGAUAAAAGCAAGACUGAAGAGUCUGUUGCCAGAGAAGCUAGAAGAUCUAAAGUCACACAUGCAGCUCAUCAAGGAGGACGAGGACUCGCUGCAGAUUUGGGCUGGAGGACUGAAAGAGCUGACCACUAUGAAGGCAGACGUGUCCCAGUACGUGCUGCCCGCAGACACCGCGCUGCUCCAGGGACAGGUGGAAGAACUUCACAGCCAAUG